UUAAGCGACUAAGCGUACACGGUGGAUGCCCUGGCAGUCAGAGGCGAUGAAGGACGUGCUAAUCUGCGAUAAGCGUCGGUAAGGUGAUAUGAACCGUUAUAACCGGCGAUUUCCGAAUGGGGAAACCCAGUGUGAUUCGUCACACUAUCAUUAACUGAAUCCAUAGGUUAAUGAGGCGAACCGGGGGAACUGAAACAUCUAAGUACCCCGAGGAAAAGAAAUCAACCGAGAUUCCCCCAGUAGCGGCGAGCGAACGGGGAGGAGCCCAGAGCCUGAAUCUAGUGUGUGUGUUAGUGGAAGCGUCUGGAAAGGCGCGCGAUACAGGGUGACAGCCCCGUACACAAAAAUGCACAUGCUGUGAGCUCGAUGAGUAGGGCGGGACACGUGGUAUCCUGUCUGAAUAUGGGGGGACCAUCCUCCAAGGCUAAAUACUCCUGACUGACCGAUAGUGAACCAGUACCGUGAGGGAAAGGCGAAAAGAACCCCGGCGAGGGGAGUGAAAAAGAACCUGAAACCGUGUACGUACAAGCAGUGGGAGCACAGAGCAAUCUGUGUGACUGCGUACCUUUUGUAUAAUGGGUCAGCGACUUAUAUUCUGUAGCAAGGUUAACCGAAUAGGGGAGCCGAAGGGAAACCGAGUCUUAACUGGGCGUUAAGUUGCAGGGUAUAGACCCGAAACCCGGUGAUCUAGCCAUGGGCAGGUUGAAGGUUGGGUAACACUAACUGGAGGACCGAACCGACUAAUGUUGAAAAAUUAGCGGAUGACUUGUGGCUGGGGGUGAAAGGCCAAUCAAACCGGGAGAUAGCUGGUUCUCCCCGAAAGCUAUUUAGGUAGCGCCUCGUGAAUUCAUCUCCGGGGGUAGAGCACUGUUUCGGCAAGGGGGUCAUCCCGACUUACCAACCCGAUGCAAACUGCGAAUACCGGAGAAUGUUAUCACGGGAGACACACGGCGGGUGCUAACGUCCGUCGUGAAGAGGGAAACAACCCAGACCGCCAGCUAAGGUCCCAAAGUCAUGGUUAAGUGGGAAACGAUGUGGGAAGGCCCAGACAGCCAGGAUGUUGGCUUAGAAGCAGCCAUCAUUUAAAGAAAGCGUAAUAGCUCACUGGUCGAGUCGGCCUGCGCGGAAGAUGUAACGGGGCUAAACCAUGCACCGAAGCUGCGGCAGCGACACUGUGUGUUGUUGGGUAGGGAGCGUUCUGUAAGCCUGUGAAGGUGUCUGUGAGGAUGCUGGAGGUAUCAGAAGUGCGAAUGCUGACAUAAGUAACGAUAAAGCGGGUGAAAAGCCCGCUCGCCGGAAGACCAAGGGUUCCUGUCCAACGUUAAUCGGGGCAGGGUGAGUCGACCCCUAAGGCGAGGCCGAAAGGCGUAGUCGAUGGGAAACAGGUUAAUAUUCCUGUACUUGGUGUUACUGCGAAGGGGGACGGAGAAGGCUAUGUUGGCCGGGCGACGGUUGUCCCGGUUUAAGCGUGUAGGCUGGUUUUCCAGGCAAAUCCGGAAAAUCAAGGCUGAGGCGUGAUGACGAGGCACUACGGUGCUGAAGCAACAAAUGCCCUGCUUCCAGGAAAAGCCUCUAAGCAUCAGGUAACAUCAAAUCGUACCCCAAACCGACACAGGUGGUCAGGUAGAGAAUACCAAGGCGCUUGAGAGAACUCGGGUGAAGGAACUAGGCAAAAUGGUGCCGUAACUUCGGGAGAAGGCACGCUGAUAUGUAGGUGAAGUCCCUCGCGGAUGGAGCUGAAAUCAGUCGAAGAUACCAGCUGGCUGCAACUGUUUAUUAAAAACACAGCACUGUGCAAACACGAAAGUGGACGUAUACGGUGUGACGCCUGCCCGGUGCCGGAAGGUUAAUUGAUGGGGUCAGCGCAAGCGAAGCUCUUGAUCGAAGCCCCGGUAAACGGCGGCCGUAACUAUAACGGUCCUAAGGUAGCGAAAUUCCUUGUCGGGUAAGUUCCGACCUGCACGAAUGGCGUAAUGAUGGCCAGGCUGUCUCCACCCGAGACUCAGUGAAAUUGAACUCGCUGUGAAGAUGCAGUGUACCCGCGGCAAGACGGAAAGACCCCGUGAACCUUUACUAUAGCUUGACACUGAACAUUGAGCCUUGAUGUGUAGGAUAGGUGGGAGGCUUUGAAGUGUGGACGCCAGUCUGCAUGGAGCCGACCUUGAAAUACCACCCUUUAAUGUUUGAUGUUCUAACGUGGACCCGUGAUCCGGGUUGCGGACAGUGUCUGGUGGGUAGUUUGACUGGGGCGGUCUCCUCCUAAAGAGUAACGGAGGAGCACGAAGGUUGGCUAAUCCUGGUCGGACAUCAGGAGGUUAGUGCAAUGGCAUAAGCCAGCUUGACUGCGAGCGUGACGGCGCGAGCAGGUGCGAAAGCAGGUCAUAGUGAUCCGGUGGUUCUGAAUGGAAGGGCCAUCGCUCAACGGAUAAAAGGUACUCCGGGGAUAACAGGCUGAUACCGCCCAAGAGUUCAUAUCGACGGCGGUGUUUGGCACCUCGAUGUCGGCUCAUCACAUCCUGGGGCUGAAGUAGGUCCCAAGGGUAUGGCUGUUCGCCAUUUAAAGUGGUACGCGAGCUGGGUUUAGAACGUCGUGAGACAGUUCGGUCCCUAUCUGCCGUGGGCGCUGGAGAACUGAGGGGGGCUGCUCCUAGUACGAGAGGACCGGAGUGGACGCAUCACUGGUGUUCGGGUUGUCAUGCCAAUGGCACUGCCCGGUAGCUAAAUGCGGAAGAGAUAAGUGCUGAAAGCAUCUAAGCACGAAACUUGCCCCGAGAUGAGUUCUCCCUGACCCUUUAAGGGUCCUGAAGGAACGUUGAAGACGACGACGUUGAUAGGCCGGGUGUGUAAGCGCAGCGAUGCGUUGAGCUAACCGGUACUAAUGAACCGUGAGGCUUAACCUU
rnacentral:rRNA from 1 species